GGGGAUGUAGCUCAAUUGGUAGAGCACUGCCUUUGCAAGGCAGGGGUUAGGGGUUCGAGUCCCCUCAUCUCCA
rnacentral:tRNA from 1 species